CAGAGGUCUCAACCGUUGUUCGGAUUCAUUGGGCGUAAAGGGUGCGUAGGCGGUCGCGCCAGUCGGAUGUGAAAUCUCGGGGCUCAACCCCGAAACUGCAUUCGAUACUGCGUGGCUCGAGUACUGGAGAGGAGACUGGAAUUUACGGUGUAGCAGUGAAAUGCGUAGAUAUCGUAAGGAGGACCAGUGGCGAAGGCGAGUCUCUGGACAGUUACUGACGCUGAGGCACGAAGGCCAGGGGAGCAAACGGGAUUAGAUACCCCGGUAGUCCUGGCAGUAAACGGUGCACGUUUGGUGUAGGCGGAUUCGACCCCGCCUGUGCCGGAGCUAACGCGUUAAACGUGCCGCCUGGGAAGUACGGUCGCAAGAUUA
rnacentral:rRNA from 1 species